rnacentral:lncRNA from 7 species
UAUUUUAACUGCCCUGCUGCAGGAUAUGAGCUCCCACCCUCUGUUGGACACAGAAAGAGGAAUGUUAAUGGUUGUGAUUCAAUGCACCUUGUGUAAUACAUGGGUGUGUCUGUUUAGCUGGGGUAAGAUCUAUUUAUCUGCUUAUUUUUCUAUCAGCUGGUCAGGCUACAAUGAUGUGAAGGAGAUGCCAGCUCAGAUGAUCCAGACGCCUUGGCUCCAACAGUAGGUGUGUUUUGUCAAUACAGUUUGAUUUGGGAAUUUUAGGUUCACAUAUUGACACCAAUCCAAGUACAGAAACCUUUCCAGGUAUUCAAGCCUCUUGAUAUGACUGAAAUAAACAAAAUCCUUAUACAAAUAUGGACUAAAAUCUGCUUAACUGGGAUAUUAAACUAUUAUAAUCUGUUAUGAUGCCUGGACUUCAAAACCAACACAGAACGAAUAAGCAGGUUCGUCAAUGGAAUAUGAAAAGGUUGAGUGCACAGUUUAUUUCUGCACUUUGCUCAGCUGUUUUGGAUCCAUUCUCUAUACACGUCUUAUGGAGAAGAUGCCAAAUGAAUGCAUCUACAAAGAUUUAUUGCCUUCUAGGACACCCAAGCUUUAGGAAAUCCAACUGGAACUGAAUCUUCUCACUUUCUGAAAAACAAGGUGGCACACAACAGGAAAUUCUUGUGGCUAAUAACUGCUGUUUUACCCUUAACUAAUCAC